UACGAAGGGGGCUAGCGUUGCUCGGAAUCACUGGGCGUAAAGGGCGCGUAGGCGGACUCUUAAGUCGGGGGUGAAAGCCCAGGGCUCAACCCUGGAAUUGCCUUCGAUACUGAGAGUCUUGAGUUCGGAAGAGGUUGGUGGAACUGCGAGUGUAGAGGUGAAAUUCGUAGAUAUUCGCAAGAACACCAGUGGCGAAGGCGGCCAACUGGUCCGAUACUGACGCUGAGGCGCGAAAUCGUGGGGAGCAAACAGG
rnacentral:rRNA from 1 species